UCCUACACAUACAUAUUACUCCUACUUCAAAUAAUCUCCAUGACAUACAAUUGGGUCAAAUGCCAAUACCAGAAAAACCGGUGACUGUUAUUUUGUCUGACAUUUCCACUUUCUCUAAACAAUAACCCCUUUAGUACGAACCAUCUUUGCCACUGUAGGUCUUAGCUAAGUAUGGAAUAAAUCAGGAUUCCAAGCCCUUCUCGUGUGACUAAUACUUUAUUAAAGACUGACAGCAAUAGUUCUGGCAGUGUGGCUGGGCACUUGAAUUUUGGCUCCAGCAGUUACUGUUAUCUAACCCUUUGCUACUGUACAUGUGGUCACAUCAGACCAACAGCAUCAUUUGGGAGGUUAUUAAAAAACGUAUCUAGGGGCCAGGUGUAGUGGCUCACUCCUGUAAUCCCAGCACUUUGGGAGGCUGAGGCAGGAUUGCCUGAGCCCAGGAGUUCAAGGCCAGCCUAAGCAACAUGGCAAAACCCCAUCUCUACCAAAAAAAAAAAAAAAAAAAAAAAAAAAAAUUACAAGAAUCAGCCAGGCAUGGUGGAACACACCUGUAGUCCUGGCUACUUGGGAGGCUGAGGUGGGAGGAUGGCUUAGCCCAGGUCAAGGUGGGGGUGAGCUAUGAUGGUGCCAUUGCACUGCAGCCUGGGAAAGAGACCAUCUCAAAGAAAAAAAAUUUAAGACGUGUCUGAAGCCUCACCUCAAGCCUAUAGAAUUAGAACCUGCAUUUUGUUUUUAAAUUUGAGAGUCAGGGGUCUCCGUCACCCAGGCUGGAAUGCAGUGGUGCAAUCAUGGCUCACUACCUCAACCUCCUUGGGCUCAGGUGGUCCUCCCACCUAUAGGCAGGUGCCAUCACAGCAUGCAAAUUUUUGUUUUGGUAGAGAUGGGUUUUCACCAUGUUGCCCAGGCUGGUCUCGAAUUCCUGGGCUCGUGAUCCACCCAACUUGGCCUCCCGAAGUGCAUGAGCCACCAGGUUGACCCCAAACCUGCAUUUUAAUAUCUACAGGUGAUUCACAUCCAUUUUAGUUAGAGAAGCACUGGCUCAAUCUGAACCCGUUUCCUCACUUACAAAAUGAUUCUAUAACCACUUAAUUCAGGCCCAAAUUAAACAGAUAAACCAAGAAGCUGGGCAGUGGCUCAUGCCUAUAAUCAAAACUUUGAGAGGUUGAGGCAGGAGGAUCACUUGAAGCCAGUUGAAGACCACCCUGGGCAGCAUAGCAAGGCCCCAUCUCUACAAGAAAUAAAAAUAGCUGGGCAUGGUGGUGUGCACCUGCAGUCCCCAGCUACUUAGGAGGCUGAAGCAGGAGAAUCACAUGAGUCCAGGAGCUCGAGGCUGCAAUGAGCUAUGUAUUAUCAUGCCACUGCACUCCAGCCUGGGUGACAGAGCAAGACCCUCGACUCAGGUGGUUUCAUCUACCAGCCUCAUACAUCCAACUUUAACUGGAUCAAGUAUUUAAGUCAGCUCGACAUUUAAAAUGGAAACUUCAAUUUUAUUAACAAUUUACGGCAAUAGACAUUUACAGAACAAAAAUAAGACAGUUCCAAGACAAAGGAGUGUAAAAGUACAGCACACAGGUUAAUACUCUUCACCCUCAUCCUCUCCGUCAGCACUAUCUGCUCCAACCUCCUCAUAAUCCUUCUCAAGGGCAGCCAUGUCCUCACGGGCCUCUGAAAACUCGCCUUCCUCCAUCCCCUCACCCACGUACCAGUGAACAAAGGCAGCAAGCCAUGUAUUUACCAUGGCGAGGGUCAC
rnacentral:lncRNA from 1 species